rnacentral:lncRNA from 1 species
CAACCAUAGGCCUGAAACAAAAAGACUCCAAAAAUACAGAGAGCCAUUAAUCUGUAUCAGAUUCUUGCGUGCUCUCUCUCCCCAUCCAUCAUAUACAUGCAUGUUUUUUAAUACAUCCCCAAGCCCUUUUUUCAUCUGCUUAUGCAGGGUUAGAAUCUGGGGCACCCUGGUAUCUUCCUGUAUCCUAUGCUCUUGCUGCCUACCGUUUUUGGGGUUCACUGACAAAUCCUUGCUGACUGGAGUCGGGGUGUGUGGAGUGGAUCACUUCAAUUCAUGCCAGGAGAAGAAUCAUUAGAUUCUAAAUGCAUUCAGAAGACAGGGGGCAGAGAGACAGACUCGGAGGAUCACAGAGGCUCCUCAAAGCUGGUAAUGC